GACGAACGCUGGCGGCGUGCCUAAUACAUGCAAGUCGAGCGGACUUUCAAGAAGCUUGCUUUUUGAAAGUUAGCGGCGGACGGGUGAGUAACACGUGGGCAACCUGCCUGUAAGACGGGGAUAACUCCGGGAAACCGGGGCUAAUACCGGAUAAUAUCUUUCUUCGCAUGAAGGAAGGUUGAAAGGCGGCGCAAGCUGCCGCUUGCAGAUGGGCCCGCGGCGCAUUAGCUAGUUGGUGAGGUAACGGCUCACCAAGGCGACGAUGCGUAGCCGACCUGGGAGGGUGAUCGGCCACACUGGGACUGGAACACGGCCCAGACUCCGACGGGAGGCAGCAGUAGGGAAUCUUCCGCAAUGGACGAAAGUCUGACGGAGCAACGCCGCGUGAGCGAAGAAGGUCUUCGGAUCGUAAAGCUCUGUUGUCAGGGAAGAACAAGUACCGUUCGAAUAGGGCGGUACCUUGACGGUACCUGACCAGAAAGCCACGGCUAACUACGUGCCAGCCGCCGCAGUAA
rnacentral:rRNA from 1 species